AUUGAACGCUGGCGGCAGGCCUAACACAUGCAAGUCGAACGGUAACAGGAAGCAGCUUGCUGCUUCGCUGACGAGUGGCGGACGGGUGAGUAAUGUCUGGGAAGCUGCCUGAUGGAGGGGGAUAACUACUGGAAACGGUAGCUAAUACCGCAUAAUGUCGCAAGACCAAAGAGGGGGACCUUCGGGCCUCUUGCCAUCGGAUGUGCCCAGAUGGGAUUAGCUUGUUGGUGGGGUAACGGCUCACCAAGGCGACGAUCCCUAGCUGGUCUGAGAGGAUGACCAGCCACACUGGGACUGAGACACGGUCCAGACUCCUACGGGAGGCAGCAGUGGGGAAUAUUGCACAAUGGGCGCAAGCCUGAUGCAGCCAUGCCGCGUGUAUGAAGAAGGCCCUCGGGUUGUAAAGUACUUUCAGCGGGGAGGAAGGGAGUAAAGUUAAUACCUUUGCUCAUUGACGUUACCCGCAGAAGAAGCACCGGCUAACUCCGUG
rnacentral:rRNA from 1 species